GGGUCCGUAGCUCAACUGGACAGAGCAACGGCCUUCGAAGCCGUAGGUUUGAGGGUUCGAGUCCCUCCGGGCCCG
rnacentral:tRNA from 1 species